UACAGAGGGUGCAAGCGUUAAUCGGAAUUACUGGGCGUAAAGCGUGCGUAGACGGUCAUGUAAGUCGGGUGUGAAAUCCCCGGGCUUAACCUGGGAACUGCAUUUGUGACUGCAUCGCUGGAGUGCGGCAGAGGGGGAUGGAAUUCCGCGUGUAGCAGUGAAAUGCGUAGAUAUGCGGAGGAACACCGAUGGCGAAGGCAAUCCCCUGGGCCUGCACUGACGCUCAUGCACGAAAGCGUGGGGAGCAAACAGG
rnacentral:rRNA from 1 species